rnacentral:rRNA from 1 species
GACGAACGCUGGCGGCGUGCCUAAUACAUGCAAGUCGAGCGGACAGAAGGGAGCUUGCUCCCGGAUGUUAGCGGCGGACGGGUGAGUAACACGUGGGUAACCUGCCUGUAAGACUGGGAUAACUCCGGGAAACCGGAGCUAAUACCGGAUAGUUCCUUGAACCGCAUGGUUCAAGGAUGAAAGACGGUUUCGGCUGUCACUUACAGAUGGACCCGCGGCGCAUUAGCUAGUUGGUGAGGUAACGGCUCACCAAGGGGACGAUGCGUAGCCGACCUGAGUGGGUGAUCGGCCACACUGGGACGGAGCCACGGCCCAGACUCCUACGGGAGGCAGCAGUAGGGAAUCUGCCGCAAUGGACGAAAGUCUGACGGAGCAACGCCGCGUGAGUGACGAAGGUUUUCGGAUCGUAAAGCUCUGUUGUUAGGGAAGAAUAAGUGCAAGAGUAACUGCUUGCACCUUGACGGUACCUAACCAGAAAGCCACGGCUAACUACGUGCCAGCAGCCGCCGUAAGAC